rnacentral:ncRNA from 1 species
GUAAAAAUAAGCAAAUUAGCGAAUAUGCUCGUUGAAACGAGAGCUGUUAGAUAACAGCUA